GUGCCAGCAGCCGCGGUAAUACGUAGGGGGCAAGCGUUGUCCGGAAUUAUUGGGCGUAAAGCGCGCGCAGGCGGUCAAUUAAGUCUGGUGUUUAAUCCUGGGGCUCAACCCCAGUUCGCAUCGGAAACUGGCUGACUUGAGUGUAGGAGAGGAAAGUGGAAUUCCACGUGUAGCGGUGAAAUGCGUAGAGAUGUGGAGGAACACCAGUGGCGAAGGCGACUUUCUGGCCUAUAACUGACGCUGAGGCGCGAAAGCGUGGGGAGCAAACAGGAUUAGAUACCCUGGUAGUCCACGCCGUAAACGAUGCAUACUAGGUGUCGGGGAUUCGAUUUCUCGGUGCCGAAGUUAACACAGUAAGUAUGCCGCCUGGGGAGUACGCUCGCAAGAGUGAA
rnacentral:rRNA from 1 species